GAUGAACGCUGGCGGCGUGCUUAACACAUGCAAGUCGGACGAUGAAGCCCAGCUUGCUGGGUGGAUUAGUGGCGAACGGGUGAGUAACACGUGAGUAACCUGCCCUUGACUCUGGGAUAAGCCUGGGAAACUGGGUCUAAUACUGGAUAUGACUUCUCAUCGCAUGGUGGGGGGUGGAAAGAUUUAUUGGUCUUGGAUGGACUCGCGGCCUAUCAGCUUGUUGGUGAGGUAAUGGCUCGCCAAGGCGACGACGGGUAGCCGGCCUGAGAGGGUGACCGGCCACACUGGGACUGAGACACGGCCCAGACUCCUACGGGAGGCAGCAGUGGGGAAUAUUGCACAAUGGGCGCAAGCCUGAUGCAGCGACGCCGCGCGAGGGAUGACGGCCUUCGGGUUGUAAACCUCUUUCAGUAGGGAAGAAGCGAGAGUGACGGUACCUGCAGAAGAAGCGCCGGCUAACUACGUG
rnacentral:rRNA from 1 species